CAAAGGCCUUUUUUUCCCCCCAGCCUCUGAAGAAAGCGGCAGCGAUUGUUCGAUAACUCGCUGCUGGAGGCCGCUGCCGACUCCCCAAGGCGACCCAGGGAAAAGAAACCAGCCUGGUUUCUUCGCUCAGACUCCUCCAGCAACUCUACCCCACCGAGAGGUUUUUGUGGAUCACCACAGCCGCAUCCCCCAGCACAGUGCCCGUUCCUUUUCCCCGUGGAGGGAAACAUCGGUUCCUCAAGCAUGAGGCUCUGUGGUACAGUGAUAUCACAGAAGAAAUCUUCUCAAGAUAUGAGACAGAGACACACGAACUAAAAUUCCUGUGCUCCUGCCUGAAGACAGAGCAGCUGAGGAAGGGAGCAUGCUCCAGGCUGCCCUGCACCCCUGGGCUUCUCAGAUGGGGCUGCUGCUGGCAACACCAAGGCAUUGGGUGUGGAUGGCCCCAAUCCUAAAAGGAGCUGAUCAGCCUCUUCUGGCAUUCCCACUAACCUCUCUGGCUGCAGACACUACAUGAAAUGUGGGGAAGCUGGGGCACAGAGGCUCGUGGGAGGUUUGUCCAAGGCAGGGGAGGUUCUGGAGCAGAAUGAGGAAGAGAAAAAAGCACAUUUUGUCAUUGCAUUGUCGUGGCUCUGCCCCUGGAGACCAGCAUGCGGUGUCGAGGAAACCAACAGGCACUGGCUGAAGCUCCAGCAACUUUGUCCCCUCUCCAGCUGGUUUGGUGACUAGUGAAUGUGUCGGGAAGGACAGAAGCUCAGUGCGAGCUGACCUUUGCCUAGAAGGCAAACCCAGCAAGGGAACUGUGCCUCUUCCAUCCCAUCUGGUUUUAAGGAGCUGCUGCUGCAGGUUGCACUGAAGACCUGGGAAGAAAUACUCUUACAUGCACUCUUGCAAUUCAGCUCUGUGCAGGGCUCCCUGCCUCCCUUUGGACGUCUCGGUGAGGAGUAAUAGCAAAUGCAAAGAGAGACUUCGCAUUUUUGCUUGCAGAUCCCAAAUUGGGAUGACAGGCAUACACCGGUUGUAACAAUGGGUAAGCACACAAAAGCAGGGCUCUCAGUGUUUUUUGCUCUUGACGUAAAAUGCAGAGGCUUUGCAUCUUUGCUCUCUUCUUUCCACCUAUCACAUUUUUCAUGUUUAUGAUCUUAAAUUUAUGAUCAAGAACAGAAUAAAAGAUAUAGAGAAGCAGACUUCCUCUUUCACCCAUUCCCUUUUUUUGGUCUCCUCAGGUCUUACUCAGAGUCUGAUCUCUCCCCACCUUGCACCAGGAUAUCUUAUUCUUUAACUAGAACAAUAUUUAUACGUUAUGUUGGGCAAUAGAGGAGAAGACGGGAGGAGGUUUGCCAAAGCUUGUUGUAAAUAUAUUGUAGCGUAAUGUUAUUUUGUCUUACUGUCUCAUGUUCAGAUUCUGCAUUUAUCAUUUUUAGACCUUAAAACUUAAAUUGUUGUAAGAUAACCAGACUACUGCCCUCUGAUUGCACUUCCAUGCCUGUACUUUUAUUAUAGUUUUAAGGUUCUGAUAAUGAAUCACCUUAAAGAAAAGGCAAGUUGCUUUGGCUGCAGUAUUUAUUUCCAAGCUCAGCCAGGCUUGCAGUAUUUCUCAGUGCCUCUUUCAUUCUGAAUGUACAGUGCUUAGUUUUUGGAUAGUUGCAACGUCUGUAGUGCUUUACCUCAAAAUGCUGUUUUGGGCUGUCUCCCUUGGACUACACCUUAGCAUAGCUUUGGUCUGGGAGAAGCUGUGUUACACAAAAGAGCCCUGCCAGGCUGCGUAAUGAACUGCAAGGAGGGCUGCUGCUGCUCUCCCUGUGCCAUGUACCGCUGGGUGGCCAGACCUGGGGACUGUAAAUGACCCCCCUGGGUCUGCUGUUCUUCGCUCCAGUGCCACGGCUCGACUGGAGGAUGGAUUCAGCAAGUGGGGAAGGAAACACUUCUAAUCAGAAGCAGGAACCAUCAGGCCAGCUUGCCAAAACAGACUAGGAACAGUUUAUACGGCCUUUAGGAGGGCUUAGCGUAAAGCGUCUGGACAUGCGAGACGUCAGUACACAAACAUGAUAUGCCCUGAAUUUUUAAUUAUUUUGGCCUGUAAGCGGUGAAAAGCAUUUUAAAGGAUCGGGAUCCUUUGUAGUGCUGAAUAUCCCGGGCUCCAGUCACACUCCUCGAACCCCGCCGCACUCGGCGCCUUCCCACGAGGUGCCUCUGGUGACGGCCCCACGCGGCCUGCCCUCCCGGAGAGCCGCCGCCACCACCCCGGGGAGGGAAAUUACGGGAGCAACCUGACUCCAUCAAGAGCCACAAGGCAUUCCUUGUAUGUGAAAUUACUGCAGAUUCAAGAUUUCUACAGAGCUCUGCUGCCGCUUGCUUACAGGAACGUGUUUUCACAGCUUAAAUGCAUUAACCCCUACCGGGCCUUAGGCUGCCACGCAGGGUUUGACGUGUCUUCAGGAGAUCUUCAGGACCUGGACAGGAAACUAUGUGAACUAAGUAGCAACAUGAAGACAAAAGUCUACUCCUGGAAAUUAAAAAAUAACCGAGUUUAGAUCAAACACUUGGAAAGUAUGGCUUUUGGCCUAAAAGGUUAAUCAGCGUUAGGAAUUUUUUGCCGUAGGACGUUCCUUGUGUAACUACUGAAAGGCAAGAUCAAAACCCAGCAUCAUCUUCUGAGUGCCAAUGUCAUGUCUGGAUAAAAACAAGCUAGAUCAACCCUUAUGAUAUUUGCUCCCGGACACACUGCUGAAUCCCUGGCUGUGCUUAGGAUAGGAAGGAAUUUCCUCAUGUGGUGAACUGGCAAAGCCUUGGAGCUUGUCUUCUUCUUGUGCAUUGCUCAAUAACUGUCUUUUGGAAUCUAAUUUCACAUUUUUUGACUUGCUGGAGCCUCGUGAUCAGAGCUGAACAUGAGCCUUUUCCCAGCAUUGGGCCCUAUUUUGUUUCUAAAGAUUUCUUCUCCUUUACAGGUAUGGACUGUUAUCGUUAUUAUUAUUAUUAUUUCAUUGCAAAGAUACUCUAGUAAUCACAAAGGUAAUCUAGCUUAUUGCCCACCUGGAAAUAAGAUGCAGGGAAAGGAAGAGGGUUAAGAGAAUAAUUAGCUAUUCAGUCAGAUGCAGCCUCCUACUCCACUACCUAGAAAAUCAGUGGAUUGUAGGAUGCUCUGAUGUUCUGUAGUCAAAGCACACCUCAUGUCGGGGGCAGCAAUACCCAUAAGCAGCAACCUCUCUGCUUCCAUACGUGACUGAAUCAUUGCCAGGCCUAGUACGAGGUGCACCAAAGUAAUUCCUAGAUCUCUCAGUUAAUGACAAAAUUUCUUUAUUGCUCCACCACCGUUACGUUUAUGAAAACAGUCUGUGUGUGUGAUGGAUGCUUAUGCAGAAUGAAUUACUCUUCUUAUUUCAGGCAAGUUGCUUUCAGAUCUUUAUGAACAGCCCCAGGGUUUGUUUCCUUUUGGUGUCCUUGUUAACCUGUGUGUAGUUGGCAGUACUCAAAGCCGAUGGGAGACUUUGCACUGGACUCAGAAAGCAGGCUUUGCUUUGGGUCGAGGGGAGCAAGCACAUGGAUCCAGCAACAACUACUUGGUCUGGUGUUUCUCUUGUUGUUUAUUCUGCUCUGCAAAAGGUAAGUGGAUACAAAUAUAGACUGUAAGUUGGCAUACGCCUCUCUUAUGUUCAGCCCCUGUGAUUAGAAAACCACCAAGACUAGACAUCUACGUGAAGGUUGUCUUGUGAGCAUGUGGGCAAGCUGAAAACUACAGCUGAAAGAGAAGGGUAAGUUGUGUCGUUCCUCCAGAAGGGAUAUUCACUUCAGCACGUUGUAGCUGUGAACAGCAUUUGCAGUUUGAUAGCUCACCCCAUUACUUAAACUGGUUCUCUCUCAGGGCUACUGGGAGAGUUUUCCCAGAGAGGCCACUGCUAUCUUCCCUGAUUUAAUAUCUUCCUCGCUGUUCAUGGGUUGUCCCCAGAUCAGAGGCUGCUCGUGCAAAAUGACAACCCCAACUACGUGACCAACAAAGUGCUCAUUGCUGCCAUCAGCUCUGCCAGCGCACAAAGCUUAAAGGGCUCCUUGUCAGGGCCCAGCCCCUCACACUGAAAUCCCUUUCAUUUCGGAAAUCAAUAGCAAAUGCUCUUUCGACUUCAGCUGUGUGGGAGUAUGUGCCCUGCCUGGACAAAAAGAAAGGAUUUGGUCCCACCAGGGGAGCUGGGUGCCUAUCACAGACGCUCGCUGCAGUGGUGCAUGAAAGGCAGGUGGGCAGGCAGAAGCUCCUGCUCCUUCUACCAUUAUUUUAUCAUUGAUCACCAUUUAUCAUAAUUGUGAUUUCAUUGUUAUUGCUGUGGAUCUGAGGAACACAUGCUGAGCACGCUGCCUAUUUGCACCUGACAGAGAGGGAGCGUCUCAAAAUAUCCCUGAGGGUUUUUGAGAUCACAAGCCUCGGAAAGAUAACAAAAUUAACACAUGAAACUCCCCUUGGUUUUCUUUAUGCUUGCUGACAAGGUUAGCAAUAACCCUCCUUUGUGAGAGCUUAUUUCGUCUCCUCUACCCGUGCAUCCAGACUGGCAAGCUUUAGGUCAGAUUUAUUAUAAUAUAUCUUGUUUUUCUUAUGGAAAGGGCGGUGAAAUUAGAGACAAAUUAGAUAAAACCAUCACAAAUUAUAAAAGGCUGAAUACAAAAGGAAAUUAAAUAACAAGAACAGCAACAACAGAACACCAUUUUUUUCCUUUGCUAAAUUGAAGCAUAACCUGAAGACUGUCCCCAGUCGACUCAUAUUUAAUAUGUCCCCCUCUAACUUGAGUUGGAGGUGGUUUACGCAGCUCUGUUGGGAAGUGAUCGGUGAAGCCCAAGCCCAGUGAAACUGCAGUGAUCAGACUGAGUGUGGUCUGUGAUGUGGCUGCUGGUGGCGGAGCCAAGCUGGCUGUCCUCAGACGAGUUCCUCUUGAGUUACGGUAACUCAAGCAAUUCUGACUUUCUCCUACAUGCCAGCCCUCAGCUAUUCCUGGAAUUGAAUCCUAGGCUAGUAGCAUGUGUUUUAAUAGAAAAACAUAAAUUUGAUCUCCAAGUUUUCUCAUUCUCGUAAAGAAAUGAUAAUUUUUCUAAAUUCUGCUGUUUUUUCCCAAGCACCCCCUUCUUCUCCCACAUGUUCUGCCUUGUGACAGAAGCAGUUUAUGAUGAAAGAAAGUAGGACCUGUUUUUGGGAAAAGGUAGAAGACAUGGUCUGGAUGCUUCAGAGGAUCAUCUUGGAGGUGAUAAUUCGUUUCCUACCAUCAGUCAAUGCCUGCAACCACCUGCUUUUGGAAGAGAAUGCCAGGAUGAUGUUACUCAAAGGCCACAGAGAAGUGUUCCCACUGCUGUUGUCCCAGUUUCAUGCAAAAGGAAGCUUGCUGGGCCCAGGGACAGUAUAGCCUGUUUGAACUCCAUCUCUGCACUCCAUCUGCUAUUAAGGCCAAGCUUCACCUACACAUACUGCUCCUGCCCUACAAUACUGCUCAGGUGUGAACCUGGACAGGGAUGAGCUGUCUUUCCAAGUAUUUUGACAGAACGUAGGUUUUGGAGAUGCAGCAUCCUGUGGAUGAGGCUGGAUAUGAGAAGCUGGAAAGAAACGCAUGGAGAAGAAAGUUUUUAGGAUUAUAGACGUGUCUAGGACCUUGGCAUGUGUCUGCAUCGCCCAGGGGCUCUGAAGCAUCCCUCUGAGUUGCUGCCAUGGCCAGGAUGAUCUGUGUCCAUGCACUCAGCCAGAGCUACAGGCACAGAAAACUAACCUCUUGGACUCACAGAACUGCAUACAAAGGUGGGCCAAAAGCUCCUGUCUCAAGGCCAUCAGGAAAAUUCAUUACACUUUCCUUCCUCAGUGUGCUACACAGCCUUUCCUGGCAGGGCUCUGGGCCGUGCUGCCACAGGGCAAGGGGCUGAUUUCUCACCUGCUGCCACGGCACCAGCAAGGCAGGAAGGUGAGCCCAGGGUCAAAGACAGUGAUGAUCCCUCAAGGCCUGCAAACACUGGAAGCAGAGCUGGGGAGAGACCCAGAAACGUAAGCCCACGCUGCACGCCGCAGAGCAGCGCAGCUGACGGGCGCCCUGGGGACGUGGUGGUGGUGGUGGCAGAAGCUGCCCCAGCAGCUGGCUCAGCUCAAGGGAUUCACCUGGAGCAUGGUGGUAUUUCUACCUGCACCUCAGCAAGUGGAUGUCAGCAGUCAGAAGUUCCUGCAAGCAUAAGGCUGUCUUCAUUACUUUACUUUGCCUUAUGUGCUUCACUUUGAAGAACUGGCAUCAAACAGGAAAUCUAUUUUUGCCCUGCUCUGGUUGUCUACAGCAUCUGGGAAGUUGGAGACAGUAUUUGCUAAACUGAAAAGUAUUUAGGGAGAAAAAGUUCUUCGUCUGUACCUUGCCUCUCAGCAGCUGGAUCCUUUAUGGAUGCUCUAAAAGAGCAGUGCAUUACGACUUUCAGCAUUCCUCCAUAUACUCUUGCACUGAGAAGCUUUUGUGGGAUUUUUGUCUUAUCAGCAGUACGUUAUAAAAAUGUCAACUAUUUCCAAGCCUUUAAAGUUUCAUUGAAGGGACUCUUCUUAAUUUCAGCCCUGGAGUCGAUUUAUGUGUGGUUUGAUCAUCUGUUCCUCCUUCCAUACAGAUGCUAUCAACGUGGGCAGCAGAGCAGCCCUGUCACAGCAGAUUAAUGGCAGAAUGUGGCGUUGCUUGUGGAAGCAAAGUAACUAAAGAUGAACAGUGAUGUUGUACCAUAUGAAUAAACUCUGAAAUCAAAAUAAUUUUUCUAAAUGUUUCAGCAUCCUAAGUACAAAGUAAUAACCCUGUCAGGAACAAUACUCGCUGCUCUCUCAUCUGGAUGUGAUGGGAAUUAGCUGCAGGUGUGCCAGUGGUGGGAAGCCAGCAGGCAGUUGCAUGAAAGAAAAAAGCACACAAGUCCCUUGGUCGCAGUGCGGGGGUAGAAACCUAAUCCUGCUUAGAAAACCAGAGCUGCUUCGAGUAUAGCGUUUGGUUUGGUUUCCUCUUGAGAAAGAUAAGGGAAAAAAUGAUAAAUAUAUAUAUUUGAAUAUCAGACAAAACAUGCUGUAGAUUUUGAUAGCAGAUGGAGGCCAGGCUGGAUGGGGCUUUGGCCAACCUGAUCUAGUGGGUGGCAUCCCUGCCUAUGGCAGGAGACAUGGAGUUAGAUGAUCUUUAAGGUCCCUUCCAACCUGGGCUGUUCUAUGACUCUGUGAUGAUUCCGUGAUUGUACAGAGAACAGCCUGUGAAAUCCAGAACUAGAGCAAGCAGGUAUUGAAUGGUGGAUGGUGAGGAAAAGCUUGCUGAGCACUCCCCACCUUAGUACAAAAUCAAGGAGGGUCAGAACUUCAGAGAAGGAUGACAUUUAUUGAUAUUCCUGUUCACCUCUCUGAAACAGAAAUAAUCCCAAGGCAUUGCCAGGUUGGGAAGGUUACUUCUUGGUUUUUCAAAUUUGUUGAACUGUUAACUUAUAGAUUUCCAUGUGCAUUCAUUUUCAGAGGGGCCAGCCAAAAGAUGCUUGAUGUUGCGGAAAUUGUGAAGAUCUAGCUCUUCUUGGCUUUCUCAAGCAGGACCAUGCAGCAUCACAUCGGGGCCCACAGAACAGCCGAUGCACUUUGUGAUGGAGUCGUGUUGCCUGCUGCUCUCUACAACUCAUCUUGAAAACAAUAACAAUAUUCAAAAAACAAAGAAGAGGAGACAUAAUUUGUUGUUGAACCUGAUGCGCUACAGUGAUGUAAUUUCUCUGCGAGGAAAAGCACCAACAGCAAUUAUGAGUUUUUCUGGGGAUAGUUCUUGUUAGUUUUGAGUCUUUUUUGGGGGCUGAUUUAUUUAUAGUCAUUUCAGCAGUGCUUUUGGUCAGUCGAGGAAUGAGCAGAAUGCUGUAACGUUAAAAAAAAAAAAAAGCUUUAAUCUUUUUUUUUUUUUUUUAAA